rnacentral:rRNA from 1 species
UCAUAGUGGAGAAUACCUUCGAGAAAUCGGAGUUAAUGCUGCAUAAGCCGGAAACGGGAAAGAUGGCCUCGUGCUGUCGCUAAGAGAUGAGCCUAUGUCCUAUUAGUUAGUUGGUGAGGUAAAGGCUCACCAAGACGAAGAUGGGUAGCCGGCCUGAGAGGGUGAUCGGCCACACUGGAACUGAGACACGGUCCAGACUCCUACGGGAGGCAGCAGUGGGGAAUAUUGCACAAUGGGCGCAAGCCUGAUGCAGCGACGCCGCGUGGAGGAUGAAGGUUUUCGGAUUGUAAACUCCUGUUAAGUGGGAAAAAAGACGCAUACCUAAUACGUAUGCGGGAUGAUGGUACCACUAGAGAAAGCACCGGCAAACUUCGUGCCAGCAGCCGCGGUAAUACGAAGGGUGCGAGCGUUAUUCGGAAUAACUGGGUGUAAAGAGCGUGUCGGCGGUUUCUUAAGUCAUUCGUUAAAGGGCUCAGCUUAACUGAGUAUCAUGCGGGCGAAACUGGGAAACUAGAGUGCGGGAGAGAAGAGUGGAAUUCUCGGAGUAGCGGUAAAAUGCGUAGAUCUCGAGAGGAACACCGGUUGCGAAGGCGGCUCUUUGGCCCGUAACUGACGCUUAAGCGCGAAAGCGUGGGGAGCAAACAGGAUUAGAUACCCUGGUAGUCCACGCCGUAAACGAUGAUCACUAGAUGUGGGCUUUGCUUAGCAGAGUCUGUGUCGUAGCUAACGCGUUAAGUGAUCCACCUGGGAAUUACGGUCGCAAGAUUAAAACUCAAAGGAAUUGACGGGGGUCCGCACAAGCGGUGGAACAUGUGGUUUAAUUCGACACUACGCGAGGAACCUUACCUGGGUUUGACAUGUAAUCGCUACUGGUAGAAAUAUUGGGUUUCGUAGCAAUACGAACGGUUACACAGGUGCUGCAUGGCUGUCGUCAGCUCGUGUCGUGAGACGUCGGGUUAAGUCCUUGAACGAGCGCAACCCUUGCCGUUAGUUGCUAGCCGUAAGGCAGCACUCUAGCGGGACUGCCUUGGAAACAAGGAGGAAGGUGGGGAUGACGUCAAGUCCUCAUGGCCCUUAUGCCCAGGGCUACACACGUGUUACAAUGGUGGGGAACAGAGGGAAGCAGAGCCGCGAGGUGAAGCAAAUCCCAGAAAACCCAUCUAAGUUCGGAUUGUAGUCUGCAACUCGACUACAUGAAGCUGAAAUCGCUAGUAAUCGCAUAUCAGAACGAUGCGGUGAAUACGUUCUCGGACCUUGUACACACCGCCCGUCACACCACGAAAGCCGUUCGCACCCAAAACUAUCUAAGCUAACCGUAAAAGGGGGCGGGUAGUGAAGGUGAGGAGGGUGAUUGGGGUGAAGUCGGAACAAGGUA